CCAUUACCCACAUUUCGAACCCUAAACCACGAUUUUUCCCAAAUGUCAUGUAUUUGUAGAAUCUUAGUGAUUUUGUUUAAUUUAAGCAAAGGGGAGGGCGAACUGACGAUUUUUCCCUUCAAUAAUGGAACAAUAACAUAGAAAUGGAUGAAAUCAUUAAAAAUAUGCCGGUAGACACCUAAUUGACUAUUUUUAACAAAUUCGUAUCCUUAAUUUACCAAAAACAUCAUCCAGUGUGUAAAUUAACAAUUAUGGUUUAGUUUAGGAGGUAAAGCCGCAUUUUAGCCAAUUAACAACAAUAACAAAAAAUAAGGGUUAACCAUUCUUGAACAAUUUAAUAGAGGUGCGUACUUAUAUUGGGGUAUGUGGUGUUAGAGGAAAAAAUUAUUUGAGUCCAAGCAAUACAUGAAUAGUGUAUUUUGGAGGGAAAAAUUUAGGUUUAGUCUUCGGUUGUUGAUGGCCUAACUGAAGCCCCCCUUAACCUAGAGAAAACAUGGAAUCCUAUUGGUGUUCAUUUCUACUAUCUUAGGUCGCACGAUGGGUUUUCCUCCUUGCAUGCUCCAAUUUUUCUUUUGCUUUUGCUUUAAAUUCUUGUUUUUUUUUUUGUUUUUUUGUGUGGAAAAUAAGCGAUAGUAUAUCAUUGAUGAGUAAGCAAAAGUACAAAGCGCUGAAUUUGGGUAAACUUCUCAAGUGACUAAACACAAUAACAUAUUGAAUUGGUCUGGAGAGAAUCACGCACAUUCCAAACAAUGACUCAAUUCCCGAUUUACCAACUAGAAGCACAUUUACUUAAACCUAUAAUACAAAUCUGCCACGCAACAACAAAAAGGCAAAUCUGUAUAAAAGCUAAAAUCUAAAAAGAAAUAAAAAUCCUAAAUAGAAAACAAAUCACAGCAAACUCCUAAAGAGUUUAUGAAAAUUAAUAGUCUAAAACAAAAGUAAGAAAAUCAUAGUGUCAUACCGGCUAAACCCAUAGUCCCAUACUAGCUAAACCUGAACCCAACACAACCUGACAUCUUCCCCUCUCUCCUCCCUCUUUUUCCUCCCUUUCUCCUUUUCUUUUGUUAAUUUCAAUUUUGGAAAUCUAGGGUUUUUUUUAAUUUUUAAUUUCAAUUUUUUUAGAUCUUAAAAAUAGUUUGGAGUUCAAUACCAAACAAGUUUUUAAAAAGAAUCAUAGUUUAUGAAUUUACUUUUAUGAGUAGGAUACCAAACAGGAUCUAAGAUGCUAGCAGAAUUGGGCAACAAUUUUUUGUGUUUGGCUUGGCUUCUUAAUUCCUUGAACCAAUUAAUUUUGAGUUUGGGAUAGCGAAGAGUGCAUUAAGCUUAAAUUUAUGAUUGAGAAUAAUACUAAAAGCAUCUACAAUAUAGUCCCCAUUAUUUAAUUAAAAUUUAAUUAAAAAGCUAUUUUAUGAGUUCUUCAUAAAAUUCCCCUCUAAAAUUUCUCUAAACAGUUAAUUUAGGGAGCUUAUUACCCUGUGCUUUAAACUUUUUAUUUUUUUUUUAAACGUCAAUUAUUUUAUAAAAGAAAAAUCAACUUUUUUCAAACACAAAGGGUUUAGAGGAAAUGUCUGUUUUUUUUUAACACGAAGACUUUUUUUUUUUCUAUCUAAACCCUUUGUGUUAUAAAAAAAAUUAAAAAAAUAAUUAAAAAGGGGGGACAUUUCCUCUUAAAAAGUAGAUAUUUUCUUUUAAAAAAAUAAUUGACAUUAGAAAAAAAUUAAUAAGAUGGUAAGAAAGUUGUGAAAUUUUUUUGGAUAAAUUUAAUAAGAGUAAACUUGAAAAACAAAAAUUAGCUUGUAUAAUAUCUUAAUAACUGUUGUAAAUAAUAAGGUGGAGCCCACCACUUGUUGGAUGGAGCUUUACCUACUCCACCACUUGUUGGAUGGAGCUCUGCCUACAAAAGGGGUGAACCCUUCCAUUGUUAGUACACACAGAAAUAAUGAAGAACAAACUCUCAAAGAAUGAGAAACCAGUUUCUUCAAUUUCUCUCUAUCUCAAUUCCCUCUCCAAUUUCUAUUUAGUUUAUAACACGUUAUCAGCACGAAUUCGCUCAAACAAUACCAGCUGAAUUCUCUGAUGAAAACCAAAGUCUCUCUCUUGGAUUUCCUUUCUGGGUUCUCUGUUUUCUAUAUGCAAAAGCAUACCAGAACCGAACCCGAAGAAAAUUACAUGGCAGAGGUCACCUUCCUUCUCCUCCAUGACCCUGUUUUCAGAUGGGUUCUUUGAACAGCUACAGCAGCAGCAACCAGGCUCAAUUGGGCUAAACCACCUAACCCCUUCUCAGAUCCACCAGAUCCAAGUCCAGAUCCAGGCACAAAACCAGCCCAAACCUGGCUUGACAAAACUACCAGAUUCAGCAACAACAAAUUACUCUCCCAGAUAACCCAGCAAACAAACACAGAGAGCACAGCAACAAAAAAAAAAAAAACAGAGAGUAACCAAAAUCCCUGAAACUGCGUAUAUUCGCAUCUUACACCCGCAAAAUCACUCUAAACACCCACACUUUAGGAAACGGCGAAACUAUCUCUCUCUCUGUGCUUUCUCCUACAGAGAAGAAAAAAAUGGGUGCUCUUGAUUAUCUUUCCAACUUUUGCACUGUCACCAGCACAAGGACAGUUGAGAUCAAAGUCAAAAUGGAUUGUGAUGGCUGUGAAAGAAAGAAUCCAUAACGACAAGAGACUCGAUGUCUCAACGUGGCCGAGGCCGAGGCCGCCAUUACGACCAGUCGUCUGGCUCCGACGCCCCGUCGUUUCAUCGUGGCGGAGAUGGUAGAAGACGAGACGGCGGUGCUCCACCGUCGUUUCCGUCCGAAUCGGGUCCCAGCCAGCUCGGCCGAGGUAGAGCUGGCGGUUCUGGCGCCGUCAUUGCCUGGUGGUUCUGCUUGUUCAGGCCUGACCGGGUCAAGGCCUUGGUCAACAUGAGUGUAGCCUUCAGUCCCAGGAACCCAAAGAGAAAGCCUGUCGAUGGUAUCAGGGCCUUGCCUUGGAUGAAUUCAACUAUGAACUCUGGGACAUCAUCUGCAUCUUGAGCUAGGCGUUUAAGAUUCGUCACCCAAUCUUCUACGGACUUGCUCCGACCUUGUGGUCCCUGGGCAACGUCGGCUAAGUAACCGUCAAUGGUGAACAGUGUUUUGCGAAGCCUGUUUAGUUCAGCUUUGAAUCCAUGUGAUUGCUGAAAAUGAAAAGUUUCUUCCUUUUAGAGGGGAUGGGAAAGCUCGAGGCUUUAUUCGGGACAAAAGAGACAGAAGGAAAUUUGGGGAAGAGGGGUUGAUGCUCUGAGUUGGGGAGGCCAAAGAGAUGACAGGGGUUUUGUUUUGAAUGCAAAGUCCGAGUGGGGUGUUGAAACUGGAAAGUAGAGAAUAUGGGUACGCAUGAUCACAGCCUCCCACCCACGAAUAUGCUGUCGUUUGAAAAUAAGGGAAAGCUGGCACGCUAUGUCUGCACCAAACAAAACCCACCGAAAGAAAGUAAUAUUAUAAAUAAAAUAAAUAAAUAAAAAGAAAAAGAAAAAAAAAAGGGAUCACUCAGCAAGGGAAUAAGCGAUAAGUUUUCUGCUCCCUUAUCUUUCCUAUUAUUUUCUAUUAUAUUUAUCUGCUUUUCUUUUACUAACCAUUAACAAAAAUGGACCCUCGGUAAUACUAAACAUAUUAUCAGUGGGAGACCGUUACUAAUACUAACAAUUUAAUUUAUGAAUUUAAUUUACUGCACAUUUACAUUUAUUUAAAAGGGUGGUGCGGGUUUAUCGUCCACGUCUUUACUUUUAUUUAAAUGUAUGGAGCAGAAUUAGUGCCCAUACAAGCACGUUUAAUUUACUGCAAAUUUACUUUACCGCACAUUUAUUUUAUUUACUGUAUGGUGUGGGAUUAUUACCCAUACGACAGUAUUUAUUUAAAAGGGUGGUGCGGGUUUAUCGUCCACGCCUUUACUUUCAUUUAAAAGUAUGGAGCAGAAUUAGUGCCCAUACACGCACGUUUAAUUUAUGAAUUUAAAUUACCGCACAUUUACAUUUAUUUAAAAGGGUGGUGCGGGUUUAUCGUCCACGCCUUUACUUUUAUUUAAAUGUACGGUGCGGGUUUAUCGUCCAUACCGGUAAUUUAUUUACUAGCAAUUUAUUAUAUGGAUUAAAUGUGUUGUAUGAUGAGUUUUUACAGUAUGCAGAUCAGGACUAGAAGUUCCUUGAUCCUCAUCAUACAAUUACAUCAGGACUUGAAGAUCCUUAAUGAUGAUGUUAAUAUGAGAGCUGGCAGUCUCUCCGGCACUAUAUUUGUAAACAUGUGAAACAUGUGAUCGGACUUGAGGGUCCUUGAUCCCUGACAUGUAAAUAAGGACCUGGGGUUCCUUAAUGAUGUAACAGUACCGUAUUGGUUCAUAAUGCCGUACACAUGGAUGAUAACUGUACUGGCAAAUGUACUGUAUACAUGAAUAGUGCCGUAUACAUGAAUAGUGAUGUAUGCAUAAGUAUUUACCAUUUUGGGUAAACUAUCACCAUUCAAAAGGGAACCUGCAGUUCCUUAAACUCAUGGAUGAGCAAUUAAAUGAGAUGCCAGAAGUUCCUCAAAAUAUGGACAAUUAUGUAAGGGCUUGAAGUCCAGAAAUAUGUACAGAAAAUUGUAAAAAUGCCCAUACCAUGAGAAUAUGUGAUUUUGGCCCGAAGUUCAAAAUCUAAGGGGAUUGAAUGUCCAUACCAUGAGAAUAUGUGAUUUUGGCCUGAAGUUCAAAAUCUAACAGUGUUGAGAACCUGAAGUUCCAACAAUUAAAUGGACAACCCUCGAGGUAUUAUUGCAAAUUAUGGUACACCACAUAUCUCUUUGGCAUAAGAGAAUGAUGAAUUGAGGCUCCCCACAUAUUUUGUUAUAUCUGGGCCGGAAGCUCAUGAACCCAAAUAUAUGAGAUAUUAGCGUGGCUUUUACUCAAUUCAUAUUUCAUGUCCAUUUUGAAAAAGGGCAAAUAAAUUCUGAGUUUUGUGUUUAGCCCAGACCAAAAGUUCCGGGCUCCCAUACGUUGAAAUAUGAAAUUUGGGAGAGUCGAUGUGGUUAUUUGAACCUAUAAGGCACAAGGUUCCAAACCGUCAUUUUGAAAAGACGUAAAAACCACAGGUGAAAAUUUUAAGAAUGUGCGCAAUUAUUAUAACAGGAAAGGAGCAAGUUGAAACGCAGUUGCUCCAAUCAAGUUUUGCAAAGGCCAUAUCUAUAGGAGGAAAUAUGGCUACAGUUUUCAGGAUCCCAAUAUUAUCUCAGAUCCCCAUAUUAUCUUUUUCUUUCCCAGAUUCCAAAACUUCACGUGGCCUCCAUUAAAUGUUUGUCGGCACUUUCGGCGUUUUCAAAGUAUUAUUUUCAUCAAAAGCCGAUAUUGCUUUACGGAUUUCACGGAGCUACUUUUUCAAAAGUACCCCGAGAAUCUCGCAAGUUUCUUAUGGUUAAUUUGAAAUUCACCGGUUCUACCUAUUCCUCUUAUUUGUGUAUAAAUGUGUUACUAAUGAAAUUUUCUUUGCAGAAGACAUCCAGUUUUCUCCAUACCAAGUUAUGCGAUAUCUACUUAUUUUUCUUAUCAGUGAGCACUUAAUAUGCCCGAGAAGCAAGACUAUCUCUGAUCAUCCAUUCAGGAAGCGAGACUAUCCCUGAUCACGUUUCCGCCACAUCCGGAAACUGUGAAGGCGACCUUAUGCUCUAAUCUCCUGAGGUCCUUCUAGACUAGGAGAAAUGAGAGCUUGUUGUUUGCUCCCACCAGCUUCUUUCCUUGAUUGCUUACCUUACUUUGCAAUCAAUAUCACAAUCUUUGUAUCUUUUCUUUCUUUUUAUAACUCUCUGUUCAUAAGGGAUUCUAUUUCUUUAGAACGAACAUCCUAAGAAAGAAUCCAUACGGUGAUCCUAACUCUAAGGGUUAUUUAUUUAUUUUCGACAGAGAGAAGAAUUGUGGCUUUUUUGCUCUUGCAUGAUAUAACUAGAUCGUCAAGCGUUAUUGGACCGAUACGCGCUUGAAUGAUACUUGAGAAAAGUUUCUCCCACCUAAGGAUGUAAGCAAUACUUGUGUUAUUUUUUGCUUAUAUACUUAUUUGAUAUUUUAUCUUGAAAGGUAACCAAAUGGGAAGAUAAGUCUGUUCCAAAAAGAAUGGCUUGUAUGUAUCCAUGAAUUAUUAAUGCAAAUUUUACAGAUUGCAAGUUGGAUACAUUGAUAAUACACUGCACAGAUUAAUGUACCAUAAGAACAGAAUAUGGGUAUAGCAGUUAUCAAUAUGAUGCACGCCUGUUGCGUAGCAAAUGAUAUGGAUUGAAGUCCCGAAAGGACAAUCCUUUGACAUGUCAAUAUUGAUAUUAUGCACGCCUAAUGCGUAGCAAAUUAUAUGGGUUAAAGUUCCAUAAUAUGGGUUAAAGUCCCAGAAAUUAAUUGACAUGUAUGUAUUAAUCUGUGGCAUGCCUGCAGCAUGACAGAUAUAUGGGUGCACGCCUGUUGCGUAGCAAAUGAUAUGGAUUGAAGUCCCGAAAGGACAAUCCUUUGACAUGUCAAUAUUGAUAUUAUGCACGCCUAAUGCGUAGCAAAUUAUAUGGGUUAAAGUCCCAGAAAUUAAUUGACAUGUAUGUAUUAAUCUGUGGCAUGCCUGCAGCAUGACAGAUAUAUGGGUUCUAAAUGUUCCAACUCCCUAAAUGGAGAUUUUCCACGCCCUAUGUAAAAUAACGCUCCAUUGGAGGUUAUAAUCCACAUUCUCACAUAAUAAAAGCCCCCUGAAGUGGCUUGGGUACCCAAAAGCAAAGAAAUGCUUAUAAUUGAUGCAUGCGCAUGCACAUGAGAAUGGUGGGAUCAUGAAUUGAUGAAUGACAAUUUUUGAUCAUGAAUUGAUGAAUGACAAUUUUUGGUUUUGGAGUAGCUACUCAAAUCAUCAAUGGGCUGUGUUGAUUGGAACCACGUUCAAUUAUUAAAUGUCGACAAUAUCAUUGGCCAAAAUGGAACGAGGUAAUUCCAUUAUAAAUGAGAAUUAACGUGAAAGAACAAACCCACAGUACGAACCCCAAAAGAUGUUAAUACUGAAAUUUAUACUUGGGUGUUCGGAAUAAAAGGGAAUAUACCUACUUUGUAUAACACACUGUUUCUGGCAGAAACAAGGAAUGUUGAGUUUUCUCCAUAUUUACAGAUUGAAUUGUGCCCCUCCCCCCCCCCCUCCCCUUAUUACACAAUUACGGAAACCAACAUAUUAUCUUUAAGGGUUAUUAAAUGCACGGAGCAUAUCGCCAGAAGCGAUUUCCUAAAGAUGUAUAAAUAGCUGGGUUAAAGCUAUAUAAUGUGUCAUAAAGUUUAAUCCCUUUUUAGACAAAAUCCGUUGAGAUGAUUGACAUUGCAUAAAGCAAGUCCCUAAAGGACAUGUGCUUGAAGCACAAAAUUUGUACUCGAUAUUAAUAUGCAUAAAUUACCUCAGUGAGUACAUUGAUUAUAAUGUGAUUGUAACACAUUAAAGAUUCUGCAGAAUUCACGAAAUAUUUGUCUCGACUUAAGGAUCGAGCAUUGUGCCAACGAGAUUCUUGCUUAUACUAAGAAAGUAUUGAAGCAUUUUUAUGAGGAUUAUCCGUUGGUCCUUAAAUAUUUUUCCGGAAGUAUACUAGACCAGAUAGAGCUCAGCUCCACACUGUACUCUUUUUUCUUCAUCCAGGUUUUUAUCCCACUGGGUUUUCCCUGGUAAGGUUUUAACGAGGCAGUGUCGCUCAAGGGUUUAGGGUAUACUAUGAAAAUUUUUAUGGUCGCUUACUGGACAAAAGCUAGUCCUAAAUUUUUCAGGGGGAGAUAUUCAUCAGGGGGAGCAUGGUUUUAAUAAAGACCUUCAUACACUGUACUCUUUUUCCUUCAUCCAGAUUUUUAUCCCACUGGGUUUUUCCUGAUAAAGUUUUAACGAGGCAGUGUCGCUCAAAGAUUGACUCACAGAAGCAGUGUCAACUACGAUAUUCAGAAAGCUGAUCAACAGUAUGACUUAAAGAUAUUUUGCCAAGCAUCAGGGGGGAGCGCACCAUCAAUAAAGAUCUUCAAACACCGUACUCUUUUUCCUUCGUCCAGGUUUUUUAUCCCACUGGGUUUUUCCUGGCAAGGUUUUAACGAGGCAGUGUCGCACGCGCGUCAAUAUACAUAGAAUUUAAUAUUACACAUGAUUAUGUACUCUUUUUCCCUUUGACCAGUUUUUGUCCCACUGGGUUUUUACUGGCAAGGUUUUUAACGAGACAUAUUCUGUAUCAUUUGUGGUCUCCAAGGGGGAGUGUUGUAAAUAAUAAGGUGGAGCCCACCACUUGUUGGAUGGAG
rnacentral:lncRNA from 1 species